AACCCGACUCCGUGAAGCUGGAUUCGCUAGUAAUCGCGCAUCAGCCAUGGCGCGGUGAAUACGUUCCCGGGCCUUGUACACACCGCCCGUCACACCAUGAGAGUUGGAGAUACCCGAAGCCUGUGAGCUGACUUUUAGAGGCAGCAGUCGAAGGUAGAAUCAAUGAUUGGGGUGAAGUCGUAACAAGGUACC
rnacentral:rRNA from 1 species